GGUAUAACAAAUUUGUCUAGCAUAGGUCCGCUUGAAUACCUUGAGGAGCUAGAUAUAUGCAACUCAGAAAACUUAGGGGUGCUCUGUGGAGGAAAAGACAAAGAAGUAAUCGACAUCUUUGCCCCAGCCCUUGCGCCUCUCCUCUUCUCGAGCCUUGGGUAUUUGAAAAUAUGGGAGUGUCCGAAACUGAAGUAUCUCUUUGGGCAUGGGUCUAAAUUCGACCUUCCACAUCUACGAGUGAUUGAAAUAGAGGAAUGUGAGGAGACGGUGGGGAUAAUAGCAGCAGUUACAUCCCCACCACCACAUCCGCUCCCAUUUUUCCCUAGUCUGGAACAGAUAAUAGUUAGGGUGUGUGAUAAAAUGAAGAGAGCGGUGGAAUCUGAGUGGAUGCCCCACUUCCCUAAUCUGAGAUGUAUUCGUGUAUCGGGUUGUGAUGAGAUGGAGGAGAUAAUCGGAGGUCCUCCCCCAUACUCGCCGGAUGAACAGAUUUCUCUCGAAUCUCUUCAAGUACGUUACUGCAAUAACAUGAGAAAGCUGCUUACGUAUGAGUGGCUGCUCCAUCUUCUAAAUCUUCAAAGUAUCGAGGUCGAUGAGUGCAAAGGAAUGGUGGAGUUGAUAAGCGGAGCGGGACAAGGCCAAGAAGGAAGCAUAACGACUUCUGUAAACAACACUCCUUCAUCCUUCCAGCCUUCUUCAAUUUCUCUCCCAAAGCUAGAGUGUUUGAAGCUACGCGAUCUACACCAGCUGAAGAGCAUAUACGAAGCCCCAAUAAGCUGCGAUUUCAUGAAAAGAUUGGACGUGUGCAGAUGCCCAGAACUGAAGAGGAUUCCUUUGCAACUGCGAUUGUGUGAAAUUGAGGAGCUUCCGCAUAUCUGGAUGCAUGAAGAGGAAAAUUGGAAGACGUUGGUGUGGGAUCAUCCCGAUGCUCAGGCUAUUCUUCGACCUUAUCUCCGAAAAGGGCCAGACUGGCUUCCAAAUGCUAUAGGUUAAUGAGUUUAAUUGAUAUACGAUUGCUUCACUUCUUAAAAGUCCUUUCAAAGAUAUAGCUUUUCUGUCUAUAUAGUCAUGCAGCUCUAACGGCGGCCUUUUGCAGAACUGUUCGCCGGGGGAAAGGAUCAUCCUUGGCUCUAAUCUUGAAGAAAGCCCUGCUACUCAAGCAUGCUUUCCUGCAAACUCGACUCAAGUUGCCAUAUGAAUUGACUUUCUUUAAUGUGGCCAUGCUUUGUGUAUUUGAACGCAAUCGCAUUUUUUUUGGCUACUGGAAAUGAGUCAAUCUGGUCGAUAUUUCGGGUUAGUCAAAAAAAUGAAAGGACAAUUUAUUAUUAUGGAUUGAUCUUCCAGGAAUAUUAGCCUUCAGAGAAAAGAGAGAAUUUUAGGCAGCAGUACCUUUAAUCUGUUUGUGUUUAGAAAUGAUUUCAAAUAUAAUAUUGCUCUAACUUGUCGAUCGAAAAUGUUGNNNNNNNNNNNNNNNNNNNNNNNNNNNNNNNNNNNNNNNNNNNNNNNNNNNNNNNNNNNNNNNNNNNNNNNNNNNNNNNNNNNNNNNNNNNNNNNNNNNNAGUAUAGAAUACUUGAUUUGCUUUAGUUAGUUGUAUCAUAUCUGGAAACACAGGCGGCCCAGGAAAGUUUUUCUUUCCUCCCCUUUGCUGUAAAAGGUCACCUUAGCCCCCACUUUAGGGUUAAAAUGUAAAAAGACCAAGAAGAAAGAAUUGCACAAUUAUCACCCCUCUUUGAAUGCCUCGAAGUCAUGAAUAGAUGGAUAACCCUACAUCUUCAGCUCAAGUUGCUGAAACCACUAGCAAGUCAAUGGGGAAAAGGCCAGCUUAUUGGAUGUGGCACUUUCGGAAGUGUUUACAUCGCAAGCAACUGGUAAGUUAGCUCUGGGAAACUUUGACAUGCUCAAUUUUUUAAACAUCCAGUCGGUUGAACUUUGACAUGUUCCGUGACAGAGAAACCAGAGUUCUGGGUGAAUGGAAGGAGUUUGAGCUAUUGCCUAAUGAUCCAAAUUUGGCUGAGUGCAUGAGGCAGUUUAAGCAGGUAAUGUUUUUGUUAUGCUUUGGCAUCUAAUCCAUCCUCUCGUCUGAUCUAAAUAUGCUGUGAGGAAACUUUCUUUCAUCAUUUCCAGUUAAUUGAUUGCUUUGCUACUAUAGGAAAUUCAGGUACUUAGCCAGCUUAGACAUCCGAACAUUCUGCAGUAUUAUGGCAGUGAAAUUGUGAGUCAACUUUCCACGACACAUGUCCCAGCUCAACAGGCAUUCAUAAUUUGACUCACCAAAAUUUCAACAUGUCCAUACAUACUCAGGUUGAGGAUCAGCUCAACGUAUAUCUAGAAUAUGCACAUCACGGUUCGAUAGACAAGUAUAUAAAGGAACGUCUUGGGACCCUGACAGAAUCGGUUGUCCGCACUUUUACCUAUGAUAUUGUGACUGGAUUGGCUUCACUGCAUGUUAACAACUCCAUACAUGGAUAAUUUGAAACCAUUGAUCAAGCAUCGUGAAAUGACUUGCAUAUUGGAUUAGGACGAUUGCGCUAUUUGGUUAGCGCAGGGAUUUAAAGGGAGCUAAUUUAUUUGUGGAUGCAUCCGGGAUAGUCAGACUUGCUGACUUUGGGAUUGCUAAACAUGUGAGUUUCGACCUCUUCACUGCAAGACUACUGACUGCAUGUGGAAAUUCCUAGCAGAUCUGUGGUGCAUUUGAAUGUGAAGUCAGGGACCCAGGGUGACUGUGUACUUCUCACCACUGGUUUGUGGCAUUUCAUCUGUGCAAAAAUCUAUUAUAGAUGGAUGUUAUUGAGUAAUUUUCUUCACUUUUUUUUCCCAUUGUCUUGAGUAAAGUUACUAUGUUGCAUAAACGGGAAAAGAUUUCUCGCUGCAAACAGAUGCCAAAACCUAAUGAGAAUUCUUUCCUCUUCUAGUGGUUUCCAAAAAGUUCCUAAGACCGAUAGUGAAUAGAACCCAAUACCUUUGGCAAAAGGUUGUGUUGUUGUUUUUGCUGCUCCUCUGCAUUCCAAAAGAAGGAUUGAAUUUAGUCAGAGUAAAGAAGGGCCUCCUUCCUAACAUGGGGCAAAUAAAAGUGUAUUGGUCCAUAGAAUGGAAUUUGGGACAGUAGCCAUAGUAUCGUUGCUCUCUUUUUGAAUUCUCAAGCAUUUGCUGAAAUCAUGUUGUUGAUUGCUUCAUGGUCCUUCUUCUCAGUAAUGAGCUAACAUAAGUUGAAAGUGGUUGAUUCAGUUGUCAAUCUAAUGUAUCUAUGUCUACCAAAGAUGUUGCUAUUUUANNNNNNNNNNNNNNNNNNNNNNNNNNNNNNNNNNNNNNNNNNNNNNNNNNNNNNNNNNNNNNNNNNNNNNNNNNNNNNNNNNNNNNNNNNNNNNNNNNNNUUACUAAUGCCAUACCAUUUGUUAGCUAACCAGACAAGUAGCUUACUACUCUUUGAAGGGAAGUCUAAACUGGUGGCUCACGAGAUACUCUGCUUUUGUGAACGUUAAUGCUACAUUCCUUUUUUGUUGUGGCGGAAUGAUGGAAUAAUAUAUCGUGCAGCUCAUACAAUCAUUGAUGGUGAAUAAUUACAGCAUGGAUCUCGAUCGUGCUGCCGACAUGUGGAGUUUGGGACAUACUAUUAUUGAAAUGAUAACUGUGAAGCUUCCUAGGAGUGAGUAUGAGCGGGUACAUUUGCUGCAUUGCUUUUUCAUUUUCUCUGUCCUUCCAAGGAAUAUGCUUCCGACUAAAUCCAUCACCAUUUUCUGUAGGAAGUUUGGGACUAUACAUAUUACCAUUUGGUAUGUGAUCUGUGUCAUGAGUUUCUGUUUAAGGUUGAAUCAUUAAUGCAGGCUCAAGUCAUAUUUAAGGUGAUGUGAAGUUCUCCAGCAAUACCUGAGACAUUAUCUCCCGAGGGAAAGGAUUUCCUGCAGUGCUGCUUUCGAACACAGCCUGCCAAGAAGCCUUCAGCAACUAUGCCACUUGAGCAUGCUUUCCUGCGAAUUUGAAGUUGCUUAUGAUUGACUUAUUUCAAGUGCCAUACGUUGUUGCAAAUGGAUGUGGUACUGUAAAGUUCCAUAUUUACUAAACUAGAAUAAUCACAGGGUCCAUAGAUGUGAUGAAGUACUUGUAUAUCGACGAAAUAAGAUGCAUGUUCCUCUCGCAUGGUUUGACCAGUGUCAUACUACGAUCUAGGCAAAUUUGACAGUGUUGCUUAAUCUAAACAUUUUACUACAGAGUGCAUUCUUAUCAUAAACAUUUUGUAUGAAGUACAUUUAUUCAUCAAAAUUGAAUGGUAUUGAUAUGGCUCCAAAUAAGAAACGGAUCAGCAAAACAAAAGUAAUAAAACCCAAGGAAAAAGGAAAAGAAAAAGAAAAUCGAAGUGAUAGUGCAUCAGAAUUCCUGAAAUAAUUUGGAAAGGAAAUACUCUGUCGAUUUGGUGGGAGGAACAUUGGCAGGUUUGGCAAACCUGCAACGUCUUAGGAUUUUGGAAGUGAAGGGAGAAAUAUCAAAGUUACGGGCAUUGGAGGCUCUUAAUUCUUCCGGACAGACCACAAUGGCUUUUCUCGAUUCACCGGAAAUUGGUGAUGGUGAUGAGGGCCACUCUGAUUGGAGAAAUUUCAUGUAUUUGUUGAGAUCAACGAUGAUGAUGAUCCAAGAUUUGCAAUUUUCGAGAGGAGAAUCAACGUUGAUUGUUGCGAUAAUGCACGUCAGGGCAGCAGGGAAAAGUUUUUUCCCUGGUGGUUUUGCCCCCAAGUGAUGCUGCAAGUUUGCUGGAUUUCCCCCUAACGGUUUUUUGUCAUUUCCCGGAACGUUUCUGGAAUAAUUUUGCAUGUUGUGUCUAUAAGAUGCAAAUAGCUAGUGAAAUUUGUUAAAAAUAUCUCAUGUGGUUCGUUUACAAGAUUUUAAUAGGCCUUAUAUUUAUAUAAUUUACCUUCACUUACUUGUUCAAAUAUUUAGGUUGGAUUUUCUCCUAUGUGCAAAUAGCAAUUUCUACGUGAAAUGCAAACUAAACAUGCUUCCUUUUUUUCAUUAUUUUUUCUGCAAUUAAAGUGAUUCCUCUACCCUAAUGCAUACCAGAAAUAUAUUCAAAAGUGUGACAGGAAAAAGAACUCCUUGAAAUUUUGCAAAGUAGGAGGCGCUUUUUAGACCAAGCGAUGUCUCUCGGCUGCAUUGAAUUGUGUCUUCGUUUUCGUUUUCUUUUGUUCUUUUCCUCAAUCUUCAACCAACAUUCUAACCAUAAGGCGCCUUCUCUUUUGUCCCUGUUCUCUCCCCCUUUCUUUCGUACAACUCGCUCUUCUUUUCCUGCUGUUUUUUUUUUUUUUUUGUAAUGAAGACUACUAAUUGGUGUUUGGUCUUUCAAAGUGUAGCAUUAUUGAGCAUCAUCAUCAACUCAUCAAGUUCGCUAAACUCAGUCAUCAAUUAACUAACAAUUCUUGUCUAACAGGAACUGCACCAACGAAGCAAGAAAAAGAUAAACAAAAACUCAGGCAAGAACUCAUUCGUUUUCAAGACUCGGUCAUAAAAAUCGAGGAAAAGAAACUAUGAAUAUGUGCCGGAUUUUUCUCUGCUGCCGUGUCCUUUUUCACCUACUUUUGACCCAGAAUUCGACCAUUUACAGCUCUCGGUUCCUUUUGUGUGUUUUCACACUGCUAAUUUCCUUCAUUCACACACGAAGGAAAGUCGUGUUGAAAGUGGCCUCCUUUCGGCCAACCAGGAGGAGGGAACGGAAAGGACUUCACUUCGAAGAGCGGGCACGUCCAAAAUUCUCAUAAGAAUUCCCAUUUAAAUUCGCCUGGAAAUUCAGAGUCGGGUUGUGUAACAGAUUGGUUCACAAUAAUUGCACUCUUAUUAGAAAGGGCAGUACAAUCACAAGAAUGUGAGAUUACAAAUGGAGUUUAUUAUGGGUCAAAUUAUCAGUGUUUUUCUUCGUUAGUUUUUAUGAAGAUGCGAUUGAAACCUUUGAGCUCGUAACAGUAAUUUAACUUAAAAAUUAUUGAGUUAUUAUAGUCUUUAAAUCAUUCUUGGGACAUUUUUUUUUCUUUUUGAUCUAAAGAUCCAAACUACAUAUGAAACGAGUCCCGUGAUUGGGAAAACACGAAUUUAGCAUAUUAUGCUUGCUCCUAAAUAUUUUUAUGUGGAUGCCACAUAACAAGUACCUAUAUAAGUUCAUGCAAAUAGGAUCUAGCGAAUUAACAAUCCAAAAUUUGAGAGAAAAUAUGAAGUAAUUUUGUGCAUUUUUGAAACUCUGUUAGUGUACAUUCUUGUAGUUUUUCCUUGUCCAAAUAUACUGAUUUUCAACUUUCACUAAGAUGUUGCAAAUUCAAUUAGAAGCAUAUGAUUAAUAGUCCUAAUUAGCCAAGUCACAAAACCAAUCAUAAGAGAUUCAUUGCGGUUGUCACCAAGUCUUGAAUUGGUGGGAUGGUUAUUCCCAUGGCAAGAGCGGCUAACAUCACAAACUUCAUCCUCUAGGGAUUAAGUUAAAAUAUACCUUUGGCACUUAAAAUGUUCUAUACUCCAUAAUAAAUAUGUUACUUAUUUUAUCAAUUAAUCUACCCUCAAUAAUAUGCUAAUAUUGGUUUAGAUAAUUUGUCGAUUUGGCUAUAACUUGGAAUAAGAGACAAUAACAAUAUAAAUCUAAUAUUGAAAAAAAAUUGUUUGAUUUUUUUUUUCACUUAUUAGUUAUUCUUUUAGCAAUUACCGAAUAACAUCAUUCAAACUGCAUAAUGCCAAAUCUAUUUUUUUUCCAAUUACAUUAUGCCAUAAAUGUGCGAAUCAACAUACAUGAUUUCACCUCAAACAAAUGGACUUUUUUUAUGAAUAAAUUUAAAAAAAAACGAUAGAAAAAUAGCUCAUAUUAGGGCCAUUUACCAGGUAAUGCAAAUUAAAACCAAGUCUUAUUUAUGUGUAUUAAAAAUUUCCAAUACCAUAUCAUAUCAUUUACACAAAAAAUGCAUAGAAUAUAAUUCGGAGAAGAAGGAAGAUAAGAGAAACUUAAACAAAAGAGCAUUUCUAUCUGUCCUAAGAUAGAAAGUAAACAUCAAAUUUAGAUAAUCUUACUUUAAAUACUUAUGUAGCAAGGACAUUCAUAAAAAUUAGAACAUAAUGUAAGCCUAAACAAUAAUAUAACGAUUGAUUUAUAUAAAGUGUCAAUAUAACAUUAUGCAAAAAAUUUAUACAUGUAAUAUGGGUUCAUAUCAAUAAAUGGAAUUGGAAGUAAAUUUCUGAAUCUAUGCAACCCAUGGGUCUUUGUUUACUACACAUUCUACAAAAAUAUGCAGUCAUAAGUUACAAUUUGAUGGAAUCACCUACCAAUUCUACUCACAUCAUAGGAAAUGUUUUCUAGCAGCUGGAUGGCUUGGAAUAUUUUGGGGCCAGAGAUGGACACAUUUCAUUCAUAUGAGGGUACAGGUCCACUGUAUUGUAUCCUGGCAGCUCCAUUCGAUACCAACCUCGUAUUUGAUAGAACAGAAGCUCGACGUCGUCCCCAUCAUCGCACCACUUAGGCAAGCCGCUUGAAUGAUCCUCGAAGCACCUUAGUGAGUAAGCAUCUUUUAUCUGCAUAAAAGACAAUGCUAUUCACAAAAUGCCAGAUGGGAUGCCUCAUGACAGAAAGUCACGCUUUUAAAGGCAAACUAGAUUAUAGUUUUCUCAAUCUUUGAAGAAAGUGACAUCCAUCUCUAGAUAGUAAAUUCAAGCAAUUAGGGUAAAAAAGAUAACCCAACUAGGGUCAAUCAGAUCGCACUUACAGUGAACUCUGUAACAUGAAUGGAGCUAGAAAUUGGAUCAAAGAGUCCUGCUGCUUUGUACAUUUCAAGAACAAAAGCUACACAAGAGGCGGACUUCCCGUCACUGUAUACCCAAUGGUCUUGCUCUGGAGUGUAAGCAGUUCAGCAAAAGAUGACCCCCUCAUUUCAGUUUCGUGUAUUAGAUUAGGAAGAUCCAAGCCCUGUAUGCAACACAAUCGUAAGGUAGCCAUAAAGUAAAGUAAGUGUAAUUACAACCAUAUAACAUUUGUUAACAGAAUGUCAUUCAAGAGACAUUAGAUUUCAGUUGCACCUCAGUGUGCAAAACAAGAUGCAUAACGUCACACAGACAAUUGCAAAUUGAAUGGGACGGUACCUUUGUUCCUAGUCACUUGUUGAGUGCUUCAUUCCAUAUGUUCGCAGCAUAGGCUGGUUGCACUUGGUUCCAUAGUCAUAACAGAAGCAACCUACAAUAAUACAAUGCUUUCUAUAAAAUGAGUGAACGGCACUCCCAUCACGCGAAUAAAGCACCCCACAUGGUGAGCAUAUUACAUGCAUCGUCAGUCAGGCUGAUAGCAACUCUUAAGAAAAAAUGAACAAAGUCUACUAUUUUGCUGUCUUAGUAUCAUAUAGGAGGCCAUAAAAAAUGAAUAAUUGUCAAACUAAGCCAGGUUCUUUUCCAUAACGUUAGCACUCAAUAGAGUCACAUGCGAACCUGCUAUUUGGCAAAAUCACUGUUCAUUUUUUAGCCUUUUGUUUUGUUCAGUUGAAUUCAUUCGAAAUCAUGGCAUGAUUGUCUAAUUUCAACUAGAACGUGUUGUUAGGAUCUAACACACGGCUUAAUAAUAUUUCAAGGUCUAUCAAAGUAAGAGUAAAUUGCUGUUUAGCAGUCAUGUUGAGAAGCAGAAACUAUUUCGUAUCCAGCAUCUAAGAAUCUCAAGGCAUCUACAGAUAUACCUUGGAAGUAACACAAGGCCUUAGUGCUAGAAAAUCGUCUAAGGCAACUGAAUGCACCCACAAAAUAUAUAUAAACAUAUAUGCACGUGUACAAUCUCUGUACCACAUGAGCAUCUAAUGGCGCCGGAUAAUUUGCGCCGAUGGUGUCUAUCCAGCUAAAAAGCAUGUUGUGAUAACCAUAUGGUUUCCCAUUCAUAAUCUGUGCAAACUCCCAUGCAGCAGCUCAUUAAAUUUGGCUCACAUAUCAGGAUGCAGUGGAAGCAACGCAAUGUGGGGAUUUGAGUAAUCUUUGUUAAGCUUGAACUCCCACCAUUUUCCCAUGGUAACACAGCAAUGACAUCUUCUCCCUGCAAUGAUAAGAACAAAACAAAACUUGCAUAAUCUCUAUUACUAUGUUAGACUUCUGUAGCACCUGACCCCUUUACCAACACAAAGGAACAAAGCAUGUAGCAAAAACCCAAAUGUGACCAUAAAUUAAUCAAGGUCUGCCUCAAGUAAAGGACGUCAUUUCAUCAAAUUCUAACCAUAAUCAUCAUCAGUAAGUUAUCGUCUCGUGUGUAAGGAUGGUCCUGAAGUUCAGUAGAAAAAGUUCAGACACUGCAUUCCCUAUGUUACAAAUAUGAUGAUGCUCCAAUAGAGCUUCUAGUAGAAGCCUAAAUAGGAUCAGCUGCAGUUCAACAUGAACCUGAAGCAGCAUGUCAUCGUUUACUUACUCAUCCUCUCUUACAAUCAAAAGUUUCUAUGGGAGCACAAAAAGGAAAGACCUAUCUUAUUAGAGAACAUAAGAUGAGCAAGGAGAUUUAAGGACAUAGGGGCGUGACUAAAGCACGCUUAAUAUGCAAAAUGGAACAAUCUCAAUGGGAACCAUAUUUGUGAGAGAAGAAGUCCAUGAUUCGACAAAAGUCACAUUUAUAAAGUAAUCACACAGAAAUACAAUGCCCCAAAAACCUAAGGGUUCAUGAAAUGUUAGAGAAACACAGCAGAAACCCUACUUGUCCUUUUCAAUAUGUAUGAGACCACACUUUGAUAAUCAGAGGACAUUAAAGCAGUAUUGUAUGAGAGUCUUUAAUGAUGAAUGACAGAUAAGCAUAGUGAAUUUUUUUUUCUUUUUUUUGGUCGGUAAGCACAGGGAAUUAAAGAGAUGGAGAAAUAAUGACUCAAACAAUUCUGGGGGUGUUUGAAACAUUUGAACGUUUGUCUGUUGGAUAUCCCCAUAUAGGAACAAGGUGGACAGUUAUUGUGGAAGACUGGCAUACUUACAGCCAUGUUAAUAUUGUGUCUAUGCAAUUGGUUUAAAACUUUACUUCACAAUUACAAUUGCAGAGACAGCAGCAGGCAAAAAGAUUGGAUGAAAUGUCGAACAUCAAAAGUAAUCCGUCAAUGUAUGGAAAAAAAAGAACAAGGAAUAGAAAAAAAUGCUUAAAAACAAUCGCAAGGUAAUCCUUUUCCUCAAAAGGCUUUUUCUCCACUAGUAUAUAUAAAAAUUAGGCCUUCAAACUGAAAAAGAAAUACACUUACAUGCAUAACCACCCUAUAUCUGUUUCCGAAUUACCUGUUCAUUAUCAUGUCCGGAUUCACCAACCCAAAGCUUUCCUUCAGCAUCCCUUAAGCACACAGCUGUGUGACCAGCGUAUGCGCCACUGACCCAUUUCUCUAGAGUCCCAAAACCACCCCCACUUUCCACGAAUUUUUGAAAUUGCAAUGAAGUCUCCAGAGUGGAUAUCAUCAAUGCUGAUGUUUGUAACCAAGGGCUGGGGACGUUGCUCAAAUGAAGCUCCCAUAUGCUUCUUGAGAAAACCAAUGUUAGAUUUCUCCCCUCACCCGGUAUUUGAAAACAAGGAAACACAUCCCACAGUGCUUGAAGGGUCCCUAGCAUCCCAGCUUGCAUCAGAAAGAUUGACACUCCUCUACUUUUCACCUGCAAUCAAAAUAAUGGAAAAUCAAAGUUUGACAACUCGCCAAUAUGCACAAGCAAGAGCAGAAGAGAAAAAAGAUAAUUGCAGCUUACAUAUUCAAACUCAGCUUUUCCUUCCCACUCUUUGAACUCAAAUGUGUGCUCACGAGAUAAAAGAUACUAGUCCCAUGUCACGCAGUAUGGGGUUGCAAAGACAUAAAUAUCCAUACAUGUCCAGCUAUGGGCUUUGCUGACCUGGAUGAGCAAUCCAAACUCAUGGUUACAAGCCGGAUACCUACAACUAGCUGUUAGUUUCCAUAUUCAGCAGAACUAGAUGCAAAAACAAGGACUAUGAAACAUCAACACGAGGCAGUACCCACCCAAACUGGAAUAGCCUCCAUAAGAUAAUUUGAUUUUACAUCAAACGAAACAAUUGUACUUGUAUGAGCAACCAAAUCACUAAAUCCUUCUUCAACCACUUAAAACCUAGACACAAAAGACUCAAGUGACCAACCAUGGUACCAAUUCGUGGAGCUUAAUCAAAGCACAAACAAGCAGAUGAAAGGAGAAGGAAAGAAAAAAACUUAGCUAGUGACGAAAUCCACUAGAAACAUAUUGAGGUAAGAACUGAAAAAUUCCAUCACUCAGAUUCCAACAUAAAUAACCAGAAUGAGAAAAGAGGAACAGUUGGGAUCAAGUGCAUGGCCCAAACAUCGAGGAUAUUCUCUAACGUCCUUUAAAUAAGUGAUUUUCUUUCACAACUCUAUAGAUAAGUAUGACCGCACACUUCAGUUGGUAAGAAAAAUACCGUAAGUAGAUAGAAACUCUAUCCAGUUCAGAGCUUUGAAUCCAUUAGAAAAAAUCGACCUCAAAUUAACUAAAAUAGAAAGCUCAAACUAAGUUAAUCGGAAAUUGGGAAAAGCUGCCAAACGAUGGCCAUUAGACCCCAUCAAACAAACUCCUACAGCCUCACAUCUCCUAGAAUUAUCACACAAUCGAACUGCAGUGAAUUGAAUUAAGCACUAACAUUCGACCAGAGAACCUUAAAAGCUCGUGAACAGUGACUGUCUCUCCACAUUACCAAGCCGCCACAAGCUCAAACAUCCCAAAAUCUUCCAGAAUCGCACUCAAACACAAGUAUUUCCAUUCCAUUCCGUUCCCCACUAUUCACCAAACAAAAAAGAAGACUUGGAAUCAUCACUCCAGUCCAUUCCUUUCCCCAUCAUUUCCCGAUUUCAUUCCAUUCCACCGUACCAAACCCGACGUAAUAGUCAACCAGAAAACCUCAUCUUCCAAAAUGGCACUCAAAACCAAAAGGAGACCAAGCAAAAGCGACGCGAUAAAACUAAAGAACGGACCUUGAUGUGAGGCGUGCCUCCGCCGAACUUGCUCCCGGUGUUGUUGUGGAACUCCCACCAAGCGGUCGGAGGAAAAAACGGCGCCGAGGAAGGCGGGCAACAGGUGCAGGGGACGGCGAAGGGCGUUGAGGAUGGGCCAGGACAGCUGCUUCGGCAAUAGAGGGAGUAUGUUCUCCAUGGUGGAACGGUGGUUUCGCGGCUCGAGAGCGCGGGUUGAGCAGAGAGGAGAACGUGAAGAGGAAGAGAAGUAGCAGAAAUUGGCUGACGAGAAGCCAUGGAAACUGGGGGGGGAGAGAGAGAGUCAUCUCUCCAGCGACGGUCCACUUCUUUAAGUGUCUCACACUGUAAAAGGUGUAGGGGCAAGAGGAGCCACUCGUUUUGAUUAUAUCCUUGGACGCUUGGUAAUUUAGGGUGCUUAACCAGUUAAAUGAAACAUUAAAGCAUCAUUGGGGCUGAAAAUAUUAUGUAUUCUUAUAUUAUGUAUUAAUGUUGGCAAAAAUCUUAAAUUAUAUCCAUCCUGACAUUAAUGUCUCGAAUUAGUAUUGAUUUCGUGGCAAACAAAAGUUUAAGAUUUUUAGAGACGAGAGGUAUUUCCACUUCAAAUAUAAGUUUAAGUGUAGAGAUGAGCAAUUAGAAGUCUCCACAAAAGAUGUAACCCUAUGGGAAGAUAUAUUGCCUUCCCACUCUCUUAUAGCUUGCCGUUAAACUGCGGCCAUUGAUAGCGUCAAAUCGGCUUAUAUUGCCUACCCCCACCCUCUUAUAUUGUUGCAACAACUUUAGCUACACCACCUUUUCAGGACUUGGUUAACAUCAAGAGUAUUCUAUAAAUGGUGUAUAUUUUCAUUUUGUAUGAAGCUAUAUGCAUGUUGUUAGUACGAAUUUGACGUUUAGCACGUUUUCACAGUAAUCAUGCAAUCUCCCUUAUUGUUAUAUUGUGUCUUGAGUUUGAGUAGAGGUGUCAAAAUGAGUUAUUGACCCAUUUAUGGACUCAUUUAAACAUAAAUGGGUUGUUAAUGGGUCAAGCCUAUUUCCUAAAGUACCCAUAAUGAGUUUUAAUGGGUUAAGACUGAGAUAUAUGAAUCUUAAAUGGGUCAAAGAACUUGCCCAUUUAAGACCCAUUUAUCAACCCACUAAAAAUAAACUCAUUUAUUUUAAGCCAAAACCUCACAAUCUCUCUCUUCUCUCUUUAACUUUACAAAAUAUUUAAAAAAAAAACCAAAAUUAUAAUUAUUUUUUUAUUUUUCUUUUCUUUUCUUUUCUUUUUUUCUUUUUUCUGUUUUCUUUCUUCUUCCUCUGGUCGUCGGCACUGCGAUGGCCGGCGACCGGCCAGGUGAGCCUUGGGCUCGCUAGAUCUGGCGAGGCGGAGGCCUCGCCGACGUCCAGCGAGACUCGAGCCUCACUAGAUCAGGUGAGGGGGCGAGCUUGAGGCUCGCCGGCGUCCGGCGAGGGGCGAGCUCAAGCUGGCUUGAUGUUGGCGAGCCUCGAGCUCGUCGGAUCUGGCGAGGCGGAGGCCUCAUCGACGUCUGACGAGGCUCGGGCCUCACCAAUCUGGCAAGACUUGGGCUCACCAGCGUCGGGCGAGCUCGAGCUCCCUGGAUUUGGCGAGCCUCAAGCUCGUCAAUGUUGGCAAGUUGGGCGAGCUCCAGGUCGCCUGUGGCUUGCCGCUGACCAUCAUUGUGGCCAGCAGCCGACCAAAGAAGAAGAAGAACAAAAAAGAAAAAAGAAAAUUAUAUUUAAAAAUAAAAAUAAAAAUAAUUAAAAAAUUAAUUUAAAAAAAAAAUUAAUAUUCGAUUUUUUAAAAUAUAUAUUUUUAAAAUUAUAAAAAAUGUCCAUUAAAUUUGCGUUGUAUAAAACCAUUUUAGCAAUACCAUUUUAUAUAUAUAAUAAGUUUUCUUAAAUUUAAUUAAAUGGGUCGGGUAUGGAUCGAAAAUUUUGUAUUGCAAUAAACGGGUUAAAUGGAUCGAUUUAGGUCGGAUCAUUUAUGACCUGAUCCAAACCCGACCCGAUCCACCCGUUUAACAGGUAUAAGUUUGAGCCCAUGUAUGGGCCCACAACUGAAGAAUCUAUUGCUCAAAGUCACGCACAAAAUGCAGUGUUCUUUUAUUAAUUAAUGCGCACGCAAGUCUUGGACUUUUUUCUCCACUUCAUUAAUGCAAUGCAUGCACGAAUCUCCUCCUGUGUCCCUUUAUCAUUUUUCUCAUUUUUGGUUCGAAUUCCCUUUUGUCAUUGAAGGAGCUGAACGUCCAUUUGUCGCCUUCACUCCAGAGCGCCCCCUCUUUCGGACUCCCCCUGGACCAGCGAAAUGGGAAAAUUCGGCGCCAAAGUCAACGUUGGAAACGCCGGCGACGGCGACGUUCUUGAGGCCUAGCCUCAAGAUUCGAGUGGAAUUGAGAGGGUGCUUCCAUUCCAGACAGCGGUGGAGAGCCGUGACGCUCACGGAGUGAUCGAGACCCAGAGAUUGGAUCCAAGCGCAGAGGCACGCGAGUCUUUUUCGCCAUUUUCAUGGAAUAGGGGUGGACGUUGGUGAUCUGGUUGGGGAAAGGAUGGAGCGUGAGGAGGAUGGUCAGGGACGCAUAUAGGAACGGACUCGACUUAGGGUUCAGGAACGGGUUUACAAAUCGGAUUGAGGUUGCGAAAUGGACCUACAUCUUUCUAGGAUGGAGAAGUUUUUUUCAGAAAUUGUCAGACGAUUUCAGGAAUUUGAAAGAAAUGAGGAGGGGCUAGAGCACAGGGGGAAUUUUAAUUUAUUUUGGCCAAACGUUCGAGCAAUAGUUUCGAAUCACUAAGGAGUAUAUAUAAAUUUCAGUACGGUGACCUCUUUGGUUCAGAUUGGAAAAGUAGUGUGCGGUGGCCAAUGGAUAAUGAUCUCGCUGCCCUCUAGCGAUAUGCAAGGGCCUGGCAGUGCAAUAUUGUGGGCUUAGUAGGGCUUAUUUGCUGGAUAUGCAUCGAUUUCUGCCAAAUAUAUGGCAACAACCGAGUGGCAGAGGUUGUUCUCAUGGGGACCACCAGGGCCAUGGUCGCCGUCCCCUGGGAUGAUUAAUUUAAACAAUUUGUUGAAUUGCUUAAUUCGACAAUUUCGUAUUCGAUAGUGUUGACUCCGUAACUUGCUUUCUCUGAUGAUAAAUGACCAAUAUCAUGCGUUUAGACCACAGUAAGCAUCGGCUCAGAGUCAGCGGUAACAAGUCAAUGAUUGACGCCCUUGAAAGACUUCUAUCCUUCCAAAGUCUAUUUUGACUUAGGCAAUUCCAUUUGUUUCUUCACAUACAUGUUCAAAUUUUUGAGUCAGACUUUCUCAUGUGCUGAUGACUUAAUUACUGCAUGGUUAUAUUAUUAAACUAAAUAAUUUGAUAGAUUAUGAUUGAUCUUAUUAAGCCAACCGCAUUUGAUAUUUUCACGUUAUUUGGCAUACAAAAUGUCGAUAUAAAUAGUGUAAUUCCGGGGGCCGAAGUUGUAAUUGGCUCAAAGGCGAACACGUCUUCAUGAGUAACACCGUCAAACUCCUUUUGAGAUUCUUGGAAUGUCUCCUACUUAGAUAACUCGAUCAGUUUCCUCUUUUUUCUAAUAGUAUAAUUUCCCUUUAUUAAUUUCCUCUAUUUAGAUCUAGUGUAUUUCUCUACUAGUACUUCAGCUCCAGGUGAAAUAAGGGGAUUAAAUUUAUCUGGUCGAUUAACUAUCAACAUCAAUUAAGAUUUAAUUUCUUUCUAUCUCUUUUCGUAAAUAUUUAUACACGAAAUUCUUAUUGUGUAUUUUUAUCAAUAAAUUAUUUUCAUUAUUUAAUAAUUCAUAUAUUUUACCCAAAAAAAUGAUUUAAAUUAAUUUUUUAAAUACCAAUUGUUCCCACACNNNNNNNNNNNNNNNNNNNNNNNNNNNNNNNNNNNNNNNNNNNNNNNNNNNNNNNNNNNNNNNNNNNNNNNNNNNNNNNNNNNNNNNNNNNNNNNNNNNNUUCUCUAGAAUAAAUAAGUUUCUUAAGAAGGUAUUUCACAAUUUCCAAGUUGUCUUUGAAUUAAUCGAGUCUUUCUUAAAUAUCAAUCUACAUAUUGGCUUUCUAAUUGUUGAAUGGGUUUAGUACCCAUGGAUAAUAAGUAAUGCUACAAAGACCUUAGAAGACAAAAAGGAUUUUCACCCUAUAUGAUGUCAUGUGUUCUCAUUGCCCUAAGAACAUAUGUUAGCUUGUCAUACUAUCUAAUGGGCUAGGAUGCAAAAGUCACAAUAUAGCCGUAUGUAGUAUGGCCAUUAAAAAUGCAGAAUAAACAUGGUUUCUUUUUAUUAUUAUUAUUUUUUUUACGAAUAAAGUGAUUCAUUUAUUCAAAACCAUAUUGGAAAUAUAUGACAUGAAUGAUAUAAAAUGUAACAGAAAAAGAAAUUUCUUGAAAUUUUGCAAAGUCGGAGGUGCCGCUCAAAUCGAGAAGUGCGGGUGGUCCCAGCAAAGUGACGUUAAUGUACAAGAAACAAAAGGUAGGAAAAGUAAUAAGAGCAACGUGCAGAAACGACGACGGCUUGGCGUGGAACGAGCAUGGCUUUAAGCAAACACAGAAACAGCACAUCUCGCGAUAUUUUGAUGUCGCGUAUUCUUCCUCUUCUUCUUCUUUUUCUAAACUGAUAAGGCUGCUCCGGAGCCUCUCUUCAUUUUCGUUUUUUUGUUUGUUUUUUCCUCCUCAUUUUUCCAACCACAUCCUCACCAUAACGCGCCUUCUCUCUUUUGUCCCCUAGCUCUCCCACUUUCUUUCGCCCGACUCUCUCUUCUUGUCUUGCUUUCUUUUUUUGGUUCCCGCCCAAACCCUUAAUGAAAGAUUAAUUGCUGUUUAGUAUUCCAAAGUCUAGCAUUAUCGGGCCCCAUCAUCGACCUAUCAAGUUCGUUAAACUCAGUCAUCAAUGGACUGACUAUUUUGUUGAACACGAGCUGCACCACCAUGGCAAGAAAAAGAAAAGUAAAAACUUAGGCAAGGGCUCAUUGAUUUCUAACACUUGAUCAUAAAAAUUUUUGAAAAGAAAUUUUAAUAUCACUGCUUUGAGGAUGGAUGCACUCUCAACAAGUGAACCCGAGUGAUCGAAUUCAAUAAUACGACAGAAUCAUCUCAAAGAUUUAAGUUUAAUAGUUAUUUUAUACGGCGAUUAUGAUAGGAACAUGAUAAUUUCGAGCGCCUGCAAUGUGAUGUCUUGAUGUAUCAUAGGAAUGUUAAUUAGAUAUGCAAACAGUAAAGAGGCAACGGCAUACCGGCAAUGACUUGGGUAGUAACAACGCAUCUAUGAGGCCUAUCCCUUAUUCGAUUUUUUUUUAUUUCUAUUUGUUUUUGUUCAUGUUUUUUUUCUCGAACCGCUCUAAUAUGAAUUAAAUAGUAGACAUCUUAAUAUAAAUUCAACAAUAGAAUUCUCCAUUUCAUUUUUGAAUUUGAAUGAGACUUUUUCUCUAAUUUUUUUACUAAUUCAUUUAGAUUACAUUUUAUAGUAUCACUAAAAUUUUAUUAUGUAAUUUAACUUAUUGUUAUAUCAUCCAUAUAAAAAUCAAAAUAUAAUCUAACUAAAUACAAUAAAUAAAAUCAAACAAAAUCGAAAUGCUCAUUAGAGCAUGGGAUAAUCAUAUUAUCGACAUUGUAGAAAACAGAAAUUCUAAUAAUUUUUAACUACUAACUAAAAUAUGUAAUGUGUUUGUAGGUAGUAUCUCAUUCUGUUUUCUUCUCACCCACUAGCUCUAUGCGCAAUUAUUGAGCCGUGACCAUGUGAAUGCUAGACUAAAGCCUCCCCUCAGCCGGGUUUUUUCCUGCUUUUUAUGUCCUUACCUUUUUCACUAAAUCUUUGCUGAAGAUAUGGUCCAUUAUGAGGAGGUGCUAGUUUUUUUCUAUGUUGUGUCCACUUCUGACCGGAGAGGACUUACUAUUCGGAGAGCGGGCUGCGUCCAAAACUUUCACAAGAAUUGCCAUUUAACUUCACCGCGGAAAAUUUAGGGUCAGGUCGUGUAGGGUUAGUUCAUAAAAAUUCACAAUCAGGGCCGCAAUGUUAAAUGUGAAAUAAUGCAAUGGAGAGAGAGAGAUUGUGGGAUUAUGAAUGUACUUUUAUUAGGGGUCAAAUUAUCGAUGAAUCUGAUCGUUAAAUUUCAUGAAAAUGGGAAUUGGACCUUUAAAUGAAAAUUUAUGUAUCGACAAUAAUUAAUCUUACAUAUUAGUAAGUAAUUGUUUCUCUUUAAAUCAUCCCUUAGUUGAUUUUUUUUUUCUUUUUGGUCUAAAGAUCUAGACUGCAUACAAAAUUGGUCUUGUGAAUUCAUUAGUACAGGUAAUAUUCUAAAUUUGAGUCAAGAUUUAUGCAAAGUAAAUAAGCAACACUACUCACGAAGAUUUUCCUAUUGAUUUCUAGAGGCAAAAAAGAGCAAUGCUAUGCAUAGGAGAACUGGACAUAUAUAUAUAUUAAGAUGGAUAGAAAAUGAUAAGGAAAAUAGUGCGGUAGCUCUCUUAAGAAAAUUUUGUUUUUAAUUUUUUAUUUUCCUUGGAAAGUCUAGAGAAUUUGGCAAUUAAGUAAACCAUAGUUUAACAUUCCAUAAUAAUUUUCCACCUCAUUCGGUGCACUAAUUUUUUGAUAUAUUUACAUAUUUAGCACCAUUUCGGGCAAGACAAAGAAAGAUAAGUAGGCUCAAAAGUUUAUCGGGUGCACGUUCGCAUGAGUUUCCUCGUGGUUAAAGCUGAAAUUGGCUCAAAGGCGAACGCGUGUUCUUGAGUAACACUGUCCCACUCCCUUUGAUGACGAUGACAUCAGAGACAAUUACCCGACACUAUUGAAAAGAGAGAGAGAGAGAGAGAGAGGGGGGGAAGAGGUCUUAUCGUGGCUUCCAAAAGAGGCCACUUGAAAUCUCUUAAAAAAAGUGAAAGUUAUGCGAGGUGGAGUGACAUCCAUAUAAAUAGACAAAUUGCUCAUUAUUUUGUUAAUAGAUUAUUGUCUAGAAAUGAAAAAGAAAAAAAAGAUGUAAAUAGUGAAGCAAUGAGGCAGCAAUAAAAUAGGAAACUUGUCAACCCCCCAUCCAUUAUAUUAAAUUAAAAUAUUAUUAAGUCCAUUGUCGGUCUAGAAAAUAAUUUGCACAUUCCCGAUUAAGAGUUGACACGUGGAAUAAUUGACUGGCAAAAACAACUUCAAACCCACACGUCACUUAUUCACGGUAAAUGUGUAUUGAGGUUUUAACAUCGACUAUGCUUCCAACAAUAUCCAUUCAAUUACUAGGUUUUUCGGCUAACAAUGUUUCUAUAUUUAGUUUAAUAUAUUCAAAUAAUAAGACCAAACAGAUAAUAUAUUCGAAUGUUCAAAAUUUUUACCCAUGGGGGUUAAUUAGGAAUGCCAACUAUUUAAUAAAACAUUGAAAAUAUUAUUAUUUCGUAGUAUCUAGAGAAUGAAAAUAAAUAAAAAAAGUCAAAGUCAUGCGAGGGUAGAGUAAAAGCAAUCAAAUCAUUAAAGAGAGAAAAAAUCAUUUUUAUUUAUUAAAGUAAUAGGUUAUAGUGUAGAAUGAAAACAAAAAAAAAAAUAUUCAAAACAAAAAGAAGAGUAAAAGCAUGCGACGACACCUAUCUAAUGUGCCAUUGCUCCAGGAGGCCUCCACGUAGCACCCGAGUUGUCUAUUCCACCGUCCAUCUCGCCGACACGACGGACGGGAAAAAAACCCACGCCGGACCCCCCCACCCCCGAAACGGCACAUGUUGGUGUCAGCGGGAGCGUCGGACCGGGCCCCGCCCCGGUUCACGAGGAUCGCCACCGAUGAUGUGGACAUGUCGAGAAGUGGGGCAGGGUCAAAGCAACGGACGGCUUGGAUUCAGCGGGGGCUUGGUCGUUCGGCUUGUCGUACGCCUUUUCAUGUGAUCACGUGAAUUGGGCGUACUACGGUGAGGGGGAACAAGGGGAGAGGGUGGGGCCCGUUGGGCCGGGGAAUGUAGUUAGGCCAUGAUGAUGGACGGCUGGAUGGACGGAUGAGUAUUUGGUUGAUGAAAAGGAGGAAGCGCCAUAAAUCGGUGAUUUCUCGGGGUCCUGAUUCCACGCAAUUGACAGUGUGAAUGUGAAAAUUGAUCCACAACGAACACAAUCAACGCCCCCUGACCCAGCAUCUAGUGGGGAGAAGGUUGUCAUUGAUGAUUAGGCCUUGUAAAUUGGUAUUUUCAUGGUUUGAAUAUAUUUGAUAAAUUUACCUAUACAAAAGUGCUACAAUAGCCGAAGGGGAGGCCAACCGUAGUCCAACCGUAGUCCAACAGAGAUCCAUAUUAGUUUGACGUGAUAUUGCUAUGGUUGUUAUAUUUGUUGUCCGACGAUGAUAUAACGUGAAAUUAUGUUUACGAUUACGCACUUCUGUAUUGAGCCGUGAUUUCCGUGCUUUUUCUGGCGGUAAAAUAUAACAUAUCUGAGACUUUCGACAGUGUAGUUGAUUAGAAUUCAAGACUUUGACCAAGUCCAAGUCUCUCCCUUUCUUCACCAAAACCGGUUCAUUCCCAUUUCCAACAGCAGGCGAAUGCCCUUGUUUCUGUAGGAAUUGGGUUACUGCCUUCAACCAGAGGAAGAGUCUUUGCUCGAUCCCUGGAUGCUGACUGGUGCUUCAGAUUCUCAAGAGCAGUUUCUUAGCUCUACUUCUUGAUGUGCAUCUUUGCCACUUGCAUGCAUCCGAAUCUUCUUUUUCAGUCCUAACUGGUAUGUUGCUUCGUCCUCAUUCCGUCUAUAAGAAUCAAAUAAAGACUCUCCAACUGAACAUCCUUAUUUAACUGGAUCAACAAGUAGAUCUGACGGAUUCUAUACGAAAUGAAGGGUUAAAUGACCUGAAUGGAGGUGGGUGGACGUAACUGCGAGAUGCAAUAAACUUCUCGGAGAGAGACCAAGAAACAGAGAGAGAGAAGGGGCGAGAAGAGAGGGGGGAAGAGCGACAACGGUGGAUUGCAGGCCGUCAAAAGGGUCGAGCUACGCCAUAACUCGCCAUUUCCGAAUACUAGAAAAGAUUUUUUUUAGCUCUAUUUCUCAUGAAUUUGGGUUUUUUGUUUUGAAAGUUCCUUUCCGGAUCUACUUUGGAUUUGCUUUGCCGGCAACGAUUCGGUCAAAAUCCAACGAUAUUCUGAUUCCUCACAUCUCCUUGUAAUUCUAGAAUUAAUUUUUUUCGAGUUGAUAUCCAAGUUGUCUUUGAGUUGAUCGUCUGGGUCUGUUUAAUAUUAAUUUGCAGUUUGGCCUUCCCGCUUGAAUACUCGUGGAUGUUAUUACUUGCUUGAGAAUAAUGCUAUGCGCGCUAGGAAAAUAUAAACAAGAUUGGUACUUCAUAUAAAUGGGUGCGCUCUCUUUGCCCACAGGUUGAUAAUCAAGACGACACAUGCCACGAGUUGAAGAUACAGCCUGGGAAAUUCGUGAUUAGACUGGAGGCAAGAAAUGGCGUUGUCCUUACUGCAGAUGAUACUCUGGAUCAGUGCACAAGAGUGAAAAGUCACUUUCUUAAACAACCAAAAGAAGGGAUUGCCUCUUGCGCAAAAGUGCCGGAUCACAUCAGCACACUAAUGGGAUUGAUACACAAUCAGGUGGCUUUAGUACUUGUGGUAGCUACAUUAUCUGCUCGAGAAUGAUGCUAUUCACUCUAAGAAGAUAUAAAAAAAUUGGAGACAAUAUAUAAUGGGGUGCACUCUUUUUGCUUGCAGGUUCGUAACAAAGAGGAUGUAGCCUGGAAAUUCGUCGAGAGACUGGGGGAUAACAAGUGGCGUUGUCAUCACUGCACGGAAGAAUUCUCUGGAGACCUUACAGGUGUAAAAGGUCACUUGCUUACAGUCCCAAAUGAAGGGAUUUCCGUUUGCACAGGAGUGCCGGACCACAUAAGAACGCUAAUGCGGUCGUUACUUGAUGCGGUGGCUGAAGAAGAGAGCAGAGGAGCCAACAGUCAAUCCUCCAUGGAGCCACAAUCACGUCACAUGCCGACUCAACUGUCGCCUUCAUUUUCACCAGAAAGCCUCGAAUUCUUGAGACCGUUAUUACCAACACCACGGAGGGCGACCAAAAUGGCAAACUUCACCCAACAGGAUGUCAUUGGGUCAAACUCUGACCAACAAUCACAAGCGGAGCGUCAGCUUCGUCAGAGUUCAGCAAUGCCAUUAUUGGUGCAAAGUAGUCAUGGUAUGUCCACGUGAAGUUUCUUUACAUUCAUCUAGGCGUGAAGAAAAAAAAUCUAUUACAUUUUUUAUAUAAUUAACUCUAUCUAAAAUGACUCAAACUUAUCUAUUUCCACAUCGCAUCAAUUCUAAAUUACAGAGGUAUCAUUGCAUUUUCUAUAUGUCCGAUAUCACUAUAUUUUUACAGCACAGUUUAUUUCAUUUAAAUAUUUAACUUACGAGCAUGCUGAUUUUCGUUGUAGAAAUCUCUCUCUGUGAUCAAGUUCUAGAUGUUUGUUUUAUCUGUACCCAUGACUUGAUUUGAAAGUCCCAGUGUUGACUGAUCUUACGCUUGAAUAUUUUAGUGCAACCAGCUUUGGUGUCCCCUCAACAUCAAAGUGUUCUGCGUCAAUCUAUUAAUCAUGAGAUGAGGGAUACACAGCAGAAUCCAACCAUUCCUCUGGAUAAUCUAGAUACCACCCGGCAACCUGAUCUUCGUGACUCUCCACCAGAGAAUCUUGUUGAAUCUCGUGAUGUAAUUGUAAACGCUCUUGACGAAAUGCAAACGAAUGAACAGCAUAAUCCAACAGUGGGAUCAUCAUUACAAAAUGAUUUAUCCCUUGAUGUGGACCAUACAAAUCGUUUACUGGAUUGGAGUCAACCGUGUGCAGUGGAAGGCGUUCCUCUAUUCAGCAAUACAAGUCCGACCAACGCUGUUGAGCAUCCCGAUCAGCUUUACCCUAGGUGUGAUGAGGAAGAUGGAAAUGAUACCCGUUUGUUCCCCUCGCAAACUCCAAUGGACAUAGAUCCCUCAAUUGCCUCACCGCAUUCAAGUGACUCUCAUGAUAAUUUGCAAGUUCUAGAAGCAGCAACAAAUGCAAUAGCCCCAUCAUCAUCACAAGGUAUGUCUGGAUUAAUCUAAAUUGUUCCUCUUGUUCUGUUGGAUUCUUAAAUAUCCCAGAUUAAUUUAUCGAAAUCUAACAUAUGUUUUUAUACAUUAGAUUUGAACAGGGGUUAUCCAAUCAUGACCGCAUGGAGCAUCAAUGCCAAUGAUGAAGAGAUAAGAAAGCUCAAAAGAAAAGUGGAAGAACUUGACGACAAAGAAGCUGACGUAAAGGAGCAGAUGGAGAUAGAGUCUUCUUCCUCAGUUCGGAAGAAGCCGAGGAAAACAGUUGAGAAAUGGCUGGAAAAAACAGAAAGAGCAAGAAAUAAUUUCCAAAUAAUUGGCCAAGCCAAUGGGGAAACUUUGCCUCCGAAGGAACAGGUGGUGACAUUGACGAGAGAAGUGGAAGAGCUCAUAAAACAAGCGCUUCCACAAACACUACUCAUAGAGGAGAGAGAUGCCAAAGGAGUCAAAUUUUUGGAACGAAAGCUAAUAGGUGAAGCGAUUCAUGGGAACAUCGAGUUUAUUUGGGGCCAUCUGAAGAAGAAUCGUGCAUGCAAAUUGGGUAUUUAUGGAAUGGGUGGUGUGGGGAAGACAACUAUCAUGAAGCGAGUACAUGAUAGACUUCUAGAAGAUGCAACCUUUGAUGGUGUGGUUUUUGUCACCGUGUCCAAAGAUUUCAGCAUUUCUAAGUUGCAAAUUGAUAUCAGGAAGGAGCUAAAAUUUGACGUUAAGGAGGUUGAGGAUGAGGAGAAACGAGCAGCAAUGUUGGCGGAGCAUUUAGAAAGAAGGAAGAAUUGUGUAUUGAUUCUUGAUGAUGUGUGGGAACACCCACUUCUUGACCUUAAAGAGGUGGGAAUCCCUGAUAGUGCAGAUGGAUUUAAGUUGGUCUUAACCACUAGAUCCUUUAAUGUGUGCUGCCAGAUGCGAUGCCAAGAGAAGAUAAAAAUUGAGCCUCUAUCUCAAGAAGUAGCCGAGAGAUUGUUUCUGGUGGAGCUUGGAUCCAAAGGGCCACCUAAUUUGGAAAUUGCGAAGUCCAUUGUUAAAGAAUGCGUAGGCUUGCCAAUUGGAGUAAUCACGAUGGCAAGAAGCAUGCUAGGAGCGACUGAUGUGUUUGAAUGGAGGGAUGCCUUGGAGAGAUUGAAAGAAUCGAGUAUUGGGCUAAAAGAUAUGGAGAACAAGGUGUUAAUGAUUCUGAAAUUCAGUUAUGAUCGCCUUGGUGAUCCCGAUGUCCAACAGUGUUUCUUAUCUUGUGCACUUUAUCCAGAAGACGAAUUGAUUUAUAAGUUCGAGAUGGUAGAAUUCUUUAUCGACCAAGGAUUAAUUGAUGGAUUGAAUACAAGGAAGAAACAAUACGAUAGAGGCCUCACCAUAUUGAACAAACUGAUAAAAGUUUGCCUAUUGGAAGAUGAUGGGGACUAUAUGAAGAUGCACGAUUUGAUUAGAGACAUGGCAUUGCAAAUCAUGAGUGCGACUUCAAUUGUAAAAGCAAGAAAGGGAUUGAAGAGGAUUCCACUUGAGGAAUAUUGGACGGAUGCUUUGGAGAAAGUGUCUCUAAUGAAAAAUAACAUUAGCGAAUUUCCGUUGAACUUGUCACCAAAUUGCCCCAAGCUAUCAACUCUUCUAUUGGAUUAUGGCUUGCAUGAUGUGGUCAUACCUGAUUCUUUCUUCAAAAAUUUAUGUGGGCUAAAGGUUCUAAAUCUAAGUAGAAUUGAUAUGACAGAACUUCCAAAUUCCAUCUCAGACUUGGUAAACUUGAGGGCACUAUUGCUUGGAGAUUGUAUGGAAUUGCGCCGUAUUCCUUAUCUAGGGAAGCUCACAUCUUUAAGAAAGUUGGACGCUAAAAACUGUAGGAGUCUUGAAGCGCUCGAGGGUUUGGAAAAGUUGGUGAACUUGAGAUACCUUGACCUUAUUAAAACACGUAUUGAGAGAUUGCCCAAAGGAACGUUGGACCAUUUAUUAAACUUGCAAUAUCUUAAAUUUCCGGCGGUAAAUGAAGAAGACAUUACAAAAUUGGGGGCAUUGGAGACAUUUGAAUGCUACCUUAAAAAUGUGGAUGAUUUUGACAAGUGUGUGAAGGCUAUUGAGCAGAGUAAUAACACUCGCUAUUACAACCUCAUCGUGGAUCUAGGAAAACCAGAGUUUUUUGUGCAAGUAAGUGAUGAUACUCGAUGUGGGAGUUUUGAGAAUUUGGGGAGGAGAGUCAUCAAUAGGGACUGGGGUCAUGCCAUUGUGAGUGUGGGAGGCGAAUGCACCGGCAUUUUUAUUUUGAUUCCCCGAGACGUGCAGGCAAUGAUGAUGAAAAAAUGCAACGGUACAACAAAUUUGUCUAGCAUAGGUCUGCUUAAAUACCUCGAAGAGCUAGAAAUAGAAAGAUGGGAAAACAUAGGGGUGCUAUGUGGAGAACGAGACGAAGAAGUAAUUAACAUCCACGACUCCCUCGCCCGAACCCCUAUGUCUCUCCUCUUCCCGAGCCUUAGGGUUUUGAAAAUAUGGAAAUGUCCGAAGCUGAAGUAUCUCUUUGGGCAUGGGUCUAAAUCCAACCUUCCGCAUCUACGAAAGAUU
rnacentral:lncRNA from 1 species